AUCGAACGCUGGCGGCAGGCCUAACACAUGCAAGUCGAACGAGUGGCGGACGGGCGAGUAAUGUCUGGGAACCUGCCUGACGUAGGGGGCUAACUACUGGAAACGGUAGCUAAUACCGCAUACCAUCAGAUGUGCCCAGAUGGGAUUAGCUUGUUGGUGAGGUAACGGCUCACCAAGGAGACGAUGCCUAGCUGGUCUGAGAGGGUGACCAGCCACACUGGAACUGAGACACGGUCCAGACUCCGACGGGAGGCAGCAGUGGGGAAUAGUGCACAAUGGACGAAAGCCUGAUGCAGCCAUGCCGCGUGUAUGAAGAAGGCCUUCGGGUUGUAAAGUACUUUCAGCGGGGAGGCGUUACCCGCAGAGGAAGCACCGGCUAACUCCGUGCCAGCAGCCGCGGUAAUUC
rnacentral:rRNA from 1 species